rnacentral:rRNA from 1 species
UGAGGAAUAUUGCACAAUGGGGGCAACCCUGAUGCAGCAAUGCCGCGUGAGUGAAGAAGGCUUUCGAGUUGUAAAGCUCUUUUCUGUGGGAAGAGAGAGGACGGUACCACAGGAAUAAGUCCCGGCUAACUACGUGCCAGCAGCCGCGGUAAAACGUAGGGGGCAAGCGUUAUCCGGAAUCAUUGGGCGUAAAGCGCGUGUAGGCGGUUAAGUAAGUUGGUUGUGAAAGCUCCCGGCUCAACUGGGAGAGGUCAAUCAAAACUGCUAAACUUGAGGCAGGUAGAGGGACAUGGAAUUCCUGGUGUAGUGGUGGAAUGCGUAGAGAUCAGGAGGAACCUCAGAGGCGAAAGCGAUGUCCUGGACCUGACCUGACGCUGAGAUGCGAAAGCGUGGGUAGCGAACGGGAUUAGAUACCCCCGUAGUCC